rnacentral:rRNA from 1 species
CCUACGGGUGGCAGCAGUGGGGAAUAUUGCACAAUGGGGGAAACCCUGAUGCAGCGACGCCGCGUGAGUGAAGAAGUAUCUCGGUACGUAAAGCUCUAUCAGCAGGGAAGAAAAUGACGGUACCUGACUAAGAAGCCCCGGCUAACUACGUGCCAGCAGCCGCGGUAAUACGGAGGGGGGCAGCGUUAUCAGGAUUUACUGGGUGUAAAGGGAGCGGAGACGGCAGCACAAGUCUGGAGUGAAAUCCCGGGGCUUAACCCCCGAACUGCUUUGGAAACUGGGCGUCUGGAGUGCAGGAGGGGUAAGCGGAAUUCCUGGUGUAGCGGUGAAAUGCGUAGAUAUUAGGAGGAACACCGGUGGCGAAGGCGGCUUACUGGACUGUAACUGACGUUGAGGCUCGAAAGCGUGGGGAGCAAACAGGAUUAGAUACCCCGGUAGUC